GGCGCUGCGGAGGAACGGCGGCGAUUGGCGGCGGGGCCGGGCGCGCGGAGGGGGCGGGGCCGGGCCGGGCGCGCUGCGGCGGAGCGGCGGGGGCGGGGUCGCGGCCCCGGGUCCCUGAGGGCGGCUCGGCCCCGCUUCCCCCCGCUCCUGCUGCCCCUGCUCCUCCUCCUCAGCCCUUUAGGAGAGCUUGCUUUGCGGUUUGCAGCGCUCUCCUGCAGGUUUUUAUCGAAAGCCAUAAAACAGGCUUGACUUUAGGCUGAGGCACUGAAAAAACCUCGAGUUUAGGUUUGAGGUUCCUGUUGCAGUCUCUUUGUCUGAGAGAUCCGGGGGUGAAACCCCCAAAACACAGCAAAUGCCCGAAGAGCUGGCGGUGUGGGAGACGAGGCCAAAUGCUCUCCCACGCACUCGCAGCGAUGCUGACACAUGUGCGUGCAGGGCUGGGUGAUACGAGACAAACGCACGGACCUAUAAAACCUGACAAACGUCCAGUAUGUACAACACAUGUUUCGCAUUUCGCUUACAUGUGUUUCGGGUUUAGAUUUGAACAAAAGACAGGUCAGGCAGUUGCUACCCUUCAUUUUUUCAUUGUAAUGAACAGGAAGCUUGCCUGUCUGCUCAGGGGUAACUGAUUUCCUACUCUUUCUUUGUAAGCUGUUUAUUUUCUCUAGCUCACAUCUGUUUUCCUCCUUAAACUCAUUUUUAUGUGAACAGAAAAAGAAAAUCUAACUACCUAGUCAUCAAGAAAUCUUGUGUCACAGAAGUGGUUGAAAUAGGGUUGAAAUCCAAACGAUUUUCAUUGUAUCUAAAGAAUAACUGAACUACAACUUUAAUUUUUGACAGUUGUUUACAUUUGCAAAGCUAAUAUUUGGAAAACCUUUGGAACUGCAAAAAAUACUCUUAUGAAUACUUAGAUUUCACAAAGGCUAAUAAAUCACUAGGAGCUUACUGGUGGGGCUUGUUAACAAACAGGACCUCUGGCUAUUGUUAUUUGAAUACAUUUUGUACUGCUCCCUCACUAAUCCAUUUCUUUAAUUUUCCAUAGAACUUUGGUGUGGACAGUAACAGUUCUUGUGUUACUCCAUUCCAUGCUCUGUUUUCUUUCUGUUCACAUGAUCUGAACUUGCUGAGCAUUGUGUCUUCCCACCACUGUGUAUUUCACUGACGGUUUAAUGCCUGUGAGCACUGGCAGAUGUGGUCUGGUGCCUGCACCAGCUGAAGGUAGGUCAGCAGUCCUGCUCUGUGCUGGGGAGUACCAGUCCACUGCUGUGUUCUGUUGUCAUCUGCACAGGCAGGAGAACAUGAUGUUGUAUCUGCCCCUCAGCUGGGUUGGUGAACAAACCAAGACAUUUGAGCCACUGGUGGAUUCUGGUUUCUCCAGAAUGAGUGUGGUGUGUGAGAUGUAGCACAAGUUCAUACCUGGGAGUCCUGCUGAAGAGAAACCAGUUGCCCACAGUAGAAUAGUGUAGAAAGCAGAAAUAACUAACUUCUUGGAAGCAUAAAGCAGGAUUUGCUAAAGCAUGUAAUGCAGAGUAUUCUGUUUAAAAUGACAACAUUUUUAGUGUUGUUUAUAAAAUCAGGGAGAGCCAUGCUUUGAAAUCAGAAAGAACAAUUGAUACCUAACCUAGAGCCAGUGUCCUGUUCAUAUGAGGUAUUAAUUUGAUUUCUGAAAAUGUGGAAUGUUACUCUCAGAAAAAAAAAAAAAAAGAAAGUGAUUUUCCUUUUUGGUGUAAAUAGUGUAAUCCACGUGUACAUUAAACCCGUGCAGACACUUUUGUGGAACUUGCAUGCUUUCUGAGUGCUGCCUUUUCAGUUUCCAGUAGUUUCCUGCAGCUCACUUCUGCUUUCAGUUUUGUCUUGCAGUCGAGUCAGUAGGUUUGUCUGCAGGGUUGCACCUAUGUAAGACUGAGUCAGCACUGUCACAGGAGGUCCCCUGCUCUCCUCCUCAUGUCAGUGCGAGCAUUUGAAUAGCUGCACAAGAAACUUGACUUGGAAACUGAGCAGGUAAAAGCGAUCCCACUAAGAAAUAUGGGUUAGUUUUAACCUCCAUCAGGUCUUUGAUCUGUUUCAUUAUGUAGGGGUGUGAAAGGCUGUGUUUGCACGGAGGAGGAGGCAGUGCAGGGACUGAGAUUGAGCAGCAGGAAGAAAGAGAGCACUUCUUCCAGAAAGCUUGGCUUUUGGUAGUUUUAAGUUGCUGCAGUCUGAAAAUCAGUUUAACCCUUUCAACAGAUGACAGACACCAAGCCUGUUUCUGGAUUUCCUACAUUUCAAUUUGUGUGUCAGUAUUUGCUUUUAGGAGUUGUUUUAUGUGUUGUUCACUCACAUGUGUGUGCAUGUAUGAUAUAUUGAUUUUCUUGUAGUUUACACUUCAUUACCUGAAAAUGCUGCUGUCCUAGGGAGUCAGUAAUUGUAAAAGGAAAUAUCCUGGUCAGACAGCACUACCUCUCAUUUCCUCUGGUAACUCCAAAUACUACAUGUUCUCUCUCUUAAGGCUUCAUGCCAUUUUCUGUUAUAAAGCAAGUCACCCCCUUUCUCUGUUCCUCCAGUUGCUAAGCAGCAGCUGUUCUCCCCAUUAGCCAGCCAAGUAUUUGCAUGAAAAUAAUCACUCUUGAAUAUAUAACUGGUCCUAAUCAUGCACAGCUAAACAGCUGUACAAUCAAAAUUUGAGUAUUAAUAGUAUUACUUAUCAGCAUAACUGAUUACUGUCUUUUAAGUCAGAAUUUCUUCAUGGAGUAAAAACAAUAAAGGUUUGCCCUGUGUUUUUAAACAAAAGGCAUGUCAGGUUUUUUUUUUUUCUGUUUAAUGCUUACUGUGUAGCUACUUUAAAAAAACCUGGUCACAAAAUGAUAUCUGCAGUUCACAAGAAAUUAUAAAUGUAAAUAUAGCAGAAACAGAAUCAUCUAGUGACUAUACAUGAUGGAAGCCAAGGGAAAAUCCACAUUUUGCUACUAUUUAUAGUAGCAGAGUGCAACAAAAUUUGGUGAUAAGAGUUUAGACUAUGACACAAAGGUAGAAUUUCCAGCAGUACAUCUUAACUUCAAAACCCACUUAGUCAGCCAUAUUUGAGUUCCUAUUGAUUUCAAGGAUGUUCAGUAUUUCUGAGGUCUGUGAUCUGGAAUCUUGGAGUGCUCUCUCACUCAAGGGAUUUAUCCAAACUGUUAUUUCAGAAUGAGAGCUGAGUGUGGCUCAUAUUCUUGGGUGCUGUUUCUGCAGGUGACAAACUCAGUUUCUGCAGGGAGAAGGCCUGGACACAUGGAUAAAGAGUUAUAUGCAGCCCAUCCAGUUGGUAUCCCAACCUAGACAGUCAGACUGUCUGCAUUACACAGGAAGGUUAUUUCCCCCAGUGUGGCCUCACUGACUGAGUCUUGCUGUUGCCCUUGUAUCAGAAGAAUCUGCCACCGAAUGUGCCUACAGCAAAAUCUAUAGUGAGAAGUGAAAAAGGGCUGCUGAAACCACUGCAUCACCCUGCCUUCCAUGGCUGUCCCUGACCUCUGUGGGAAUGCUGCUUUGGAUGGCUCUUGCUCUUACAGUCCUAAACUGCUCCCCAGCAUACUGGCCAGGUGACAAGCAGAGUGGUAUUCAGUCUUCCAGUCAUCAGCAGUGAUUGGCAAAAUCCCAAUCUGGAGGUAAGAGACGCUUUACAUGCAACUACCUGCUGAUUGAAGGAUUCUCCUCAGAGUGUGCCAGGACUGAGACAGGAGAGGUUGGCUUGGUGUCCCUUCAAAUGGAAAGCCUAGAAUCCAGCCUGCUGUUGCCUCUUCAGCUGCUGUUGAAUAAUGCACUGUCCUAACCACUCUGCUGCUACAUAAAAGCAUGCAACAAAGGUCUAUGUCCCAAAAGGGGGGGAGGUAGCCUCUGCCAAAGACUUCGUUCUAGAAAAGCUUAUGCAGCGGGUGCAAAUUUGUGCCUGAAGACUGACCUGUAUUUUGCCAAGGAGAGAGAGACUGAACAGCAAUAAAUGUCCUGUAAUCUGUUGUCUGGGCCACUGUAACUAUGUCUCUGGUUCAAGCUUUUAAGAAGACAGGAGUUGUAGGGCAUUUCUGUCAGCAGGUACUGCUGCUGGAGGACUAAACUCUCUAAGUUCCCAUCUCGUCAGGCAGGCACCGUGGCACUGAGUGGGAAUAGCCAGGUUCUGCACACCAUUUGGGUUGGCUGCACAAAGGACAAAGUUUUAAAGAAUUAGGUCAGUAGGUUUAAUAUCUAAUUAGGCCUCUAAUCCUACAAACCGGUCACAGUUGUGCAUUAUUAUAUGUUCAUUGUGUCCUAAAUGGAACUACUUAUUUGCGUGAAGUUAUGGAUGUAAAUGCGUGCAGGAUUGGAUGUGGGCAAUCACAUUUUGGCUUAUUAUUUGUACCAUAGCACUGUUGCAAAUUGGGUAUCUCUGAUGUUAUCCCUUCCCCAGACAGGGUGAAGGGGUAUCUGAAACUGAAUAUGUUUCGGUGAAAUGGCUUGCACUCCAUUACUGUACCUGUCCAAACCAAACACUUACACAAAGACACGUCAUAGAAAGCAUUUCUGCUGUUAAGAGAGUCAUAAGGCAUAGAUUUUCCAUGCAAAAGGUCAUGAGGCUGCAGUUUCACUGGGUAAUGUGCUGCAUUUGCAUAGACACAUAUUCAGACAGUUAAUGGUAGUGCAGAAUGCUUUAAUGAUUUUCAUUUGCAUCUAGCUGUUCUCACCUCUUAGGGACAUAAUGGAUAAACAGAAGAGGCCUUUUGUUUGCUCUUCAUAAAAGUUACCAGUGAUUAAGUGGUGCUGAGGGAACAGACUCAUGCUCUCAUUUGAAAAAGAAAACCAAAACCAACAACAAAACUACCCAUCAAAGCUGACUUCAAAGUGACCUACUUAAUUUUGAUUUAAAAUGGCACUUGAGUAAUUUAUUUUAAUGUUAUGCAGAUUUCCUAAUUCAAAACAGAAAUGGUCACUCAGAGUGUAUGAAUACAGAAAUAGUUACUACAUCAGUUACAAAAUACUCAUAAUUUGUUAGGGUACUCGUUAUAGUGUUGAAUUACAAACAAAGCUAUAUACACUUAGAUCAGGUUUCUUCCAAAUGGAUUCAGCAGUCACGUUUUUUAUGAAAAAAUACGUCCAGAAUAGUUGUGAGUAAUUUGAUACUUUUUGCACGAUGCUGUGGUGUUUCAUAAGAAAAUCCAUGCCAGAGGCUUGCUAGAGAAAAUCUUGUGAUGAUUCCGUAGAGGGUCUCCCUGUGAAAAACUUUUCCACACCCUCCUGGAAUAUAAAGGUGUACAGACUUUCAAACUGUGUCCUGGAAUGCUUGCAACUCAGUAUCAGCUUCUUGGGCUCCUCUCUCAUGCACAGCCCUCUAAAAGGGCUUAAAGGAAGUUAUCUUAGUCUCUGGCUGUGUUAGGUUUUUAGUUUCUGAAGGAUUUCACGUGCAGUUCAGUCUCUCAGUAUAAUCUUGAAAAAAAUCUGAGUGGCUUUUUGAGACUAAAACUCUGUUCUUAAAUACUUUUUUCUCAGAAUAGUAAUGCUUAAUUUUUUAUUCCUAAUUUGUAGGCACAAAAUUUGUGAUUUCAUCGCCUCAAUUUGCACAUUGGUGCCUUGGUGUCAGGAUUUUUAAAUUAUAUUUGUCCAAAUGUGCUAGAUUUUCAACUUUAUGUGUAGCACUGAGAAGCUCAGCCAAGACAUUCCACAUCCCAAAUAGCCAAAUUUCAGUAAUCCCCACUCAGGGUACAAGGGUGCAAUGUUUCUGAGAGUUGCUAGAAUGAACAGGCUUUCAAGUACUUGGGUCUUUUCAGUUAAUGACUUGCAGUUUUUUCCAUUUCUAACUCUCUGCCUUCCAGAUAGUGAUCUAGAGUACUUCUUGUGGCAUUCCAAGUCUAUCAUUUAAAUCAAGAUAUGGAACUUGACUUCAUGUAUUUGGAAUAUUCUCCAUUUUCACAGAAUCAGAGUUGCUCAGUCAAAUUGGGAGACAGUGAGUGGAGGAAAAACAUCUGGGUCAUUUGACACAUGCAAAAGCUCACAUAGCAGUGGGAGUUAGUGGAAGAAGACCAAGGACAGAGAUCAUCAAACUUGUACAGGCCAAGAACAAGGCAAAUAAAAUACAUGGUGUCAGUGAGUCACAAAGCAAUGCUUGGUUGCAUUUUCCUUCUUCAGUUCCCUCUGCACCAUAACAUGAGCUGCAAUAUUCCCUAUUUCCAGGCUCCUGUUCCAGUACCCCUAUCUCCUCUCUUUGCAUCCCAUACUGAGGGCACAGCUUAGCAGAAGCUGUGAGCAGCUGUCUUGCAGAAAGCCAAGCUGAUCAACACCAUCUUGUAGCUGGGGAGGCAGCAGCCUCAUUCUCCAGCUGAGUUCAGAGGCCUUUUUUCUUUUUUUUUGUUGUUGGAUUCUCAUUAUGCAUGUUUAUAUUUGAAGAGCUGUAUUUUCUGGGGGGGAAAAAGGAGUGUGUGCAGUCCAGGAGGCAUAGAGAAGGGAUAUUGGGUGAUAAUUGCUGUAAGUGCUUUACAGUGAAAUAUGUGGACCGUGUUUUAGUCACGUUCAAAACUUACACCGAUUAAUUGUCUCAUUUUUUGACAUAAACUA